GGCGUCGCGGAGCUCGGGCCGGUGGAAGGUUUACCUGCUAGGCUCGUCCCACCUGUGUGGAGCUCCCAUCGCCCUCCAGCGUUGCGCAGCCUGAAGGGACAGGACGGACAAGCGGGUGCCUCCUUCUAAUUCAUCUUCACCAUUGUGGUUGUCAAUAUGGCAUGCAGAAUUAUCCCUCUUUCCAGCUUCUGGAGUCUACCUGGAUUCCUGGGCUCAUGGCCCCUUCCUCCAUCUUCAAACCAGCAAUGAUGGAGCUGAGCCUGACACUCUAACCGGUUCUCUGGGUGUACUGCAAAGGUCUAAUAAAAGGCACCUUUGCCCGGUUGCUUCAAUUCUAGGAAGCUGUUCAAUGUUUGACUAUAUUUCUCCAUACUCAUUUGAAAACAGUUCAUCAGAUUGGAACGACCUGGAGCAGCCAGCAGAGUGACAAAUGAGGAAGAGGACAGAAUCUAGCUGAAGAAGCUCUGGAAGAUACCAUUUGAAGUCUUGAGUGCUUGAACUCACAAAGAAAGCACAUGAGUACACACUAGCACUUGAGCUCUUCAUUUUAAACAGAAUAAAGAAUGUACUGCUAUUAUUGUCAUUUUACAGAUAGGGAAAUUCAGACUCACCAGGGCUACUCAGAUACAAAGAAAAUGAGCCAGAAUUUCAAGCAAGCCUGAGCUUAGAAUCUACACUAUUUUUUUUUUUUUUUUUGAGACAUGGUCUUACUUUGUCACCCAGGCUGGAGUUCAGUGGUAUUAGGUUGGCACAAAAGUAAUUGUGGUCUCUGCCACUUAAAACUAGAGCCCGAAACUGCAAUUACUUUUGCACCAACCUAAUGCACUUACCAGAGCUCACUUACGCCUUGACCUCCUGGGCUCAAGUGAUUCUCCCACCUCAGCCUCCCAAGUGGCUGGGAAUGUGGGCAUGCACCACCCUGCCCGGCUAGCUUUUCUUUCUUUUUUUUUUGUGGAGACAGGAUUUUGCCAUGUUGUCCCGGCUGGUCUUUAACUCCUGAGCUCAAACUAUCCUUCUGCCCUGGCCUCCCAAAGUUCUGGGAUUACAGGCAUGAGCCACUGUGCCCGGCCCAGAACCUAUGCUCCUAACUGCCACACCAAUUGACCUCUAUUCAGCCAUUUUUAUUUCUAUAGCACUUGGUAUAAUUUCACUUUGCACACAGUAUCUAUAGAUAAUCAUUCCAGGGCAUGUAAUCGUCAUAAGAUUAUUUAUGUUAUUGCAUGUGUAUUACUGCAUGUAAUCUUCAUGUGUUAUUGCCUCUAACAAGUUAUGUAUUUCCAUGUAGUCUUCAUAACUGUGUAUAGAAGACCAUUUUAGAGAUGGAAAACUGAGACUCAGAAGUGGUAAUUGUCCUACUGGUCAGAGAUUUAGCCAGGGUUUGGAUUGUGGAAUGCAGAGGACCACUUACUUUUCACUAGACCAUAAAUGCUCCUCACCACUGAGGCAUGUCAAAUGCCAGAUAUCUCCAGGAACCUUAGGCUACGUCUCCAUUGUUUUUGCUUUUUCCCCCCUUAGACACAGCUUGGCAAAGAACAAAUGAUCCCAAACACCAAACAGCACACUUGGAAACAUUUAACCCGCAUACUUUCAGACUUUCUGGCAUGGACCAACCUCUUGUCUUACCUUUGUUCCUGGCCAGAAAGAAAUGGCAUGAAAAGAUGGACAGUUUUUAUAACCUCUUUGAGCUCUAAACCAUGUUUCCUGUGCACUUAGGAGAUCUUAAUAGAAACCAAGUACUUCUUUUAGGCAUCUAUACUCUUAAUGCCGUAAGUCAAGUCAAGUACCCAGGUGGUUAAGAUAACUGUACCAACAGAAACAUUUUUAAAAAAUAUCCUAACACAACAUGAAGUGACCAUCGCGAAUUCAAAGAAGCAGGCAUAUUUCUUAAAGGUUGAAAAGAGGUGAGUCUUUCACAAGAUUCUAGCUCAAGGCCAUAUUUGCACAAGUAUAGUCAUUCCUCUAGCAAGGUUUUGUUUAUCUGGCCAUUAAAAAAAAUUAAAACAA
ensembl:lncRNA MAFTRR MAF transcriptional regulator RNA